CCUAUGCAGUGUGCUUUUUCUGUGAAGUCCUAUCUUGAGAAAAGAAGCCAGUGUGAGAACAGCUAGGUCCUUCCAAGAACAGUACAAGGUCCUCCCAAGAUCUGAAGAGAGGGAGUUAACCUGCCAGGGAGAUUUCAGGCAGUGAUCACUUCUCAAGGGAGCAGAAAGCCAGAAAACUGCAAUGAGCAAAGGAUCUGAAGUAUCGGUGGCUGAUUACAACAAAAUCCUCUUUUUUCUGUCAGAACCAGAGCCAGGGCAACCAGCUGUGAGGAUUUUCUUCUAUGUAAAGGAAAUUCUAUGAAAACCAUGCUACUCCUGAAGAUGGGAUACCAAUAAAAUUGCAGAUGUGAUGUGAUACAAUGCAAAACUGUGAGAAAAUGGUUAGUAAAUGCUACGUAUUUUUGGUAGGGUUGUAAAGGAAUGUCAUAAUAGGACAGAUUUCUGAGGGGUGAAACUAGAAUAUCCCUUCACCGUUUUGCAUUCACUUCAUAGCUCACUUCACUUCACUGCAUUACUUUCCCUGAUAAGGAUGUGGACUAGCAUAAUUGGGGAGUAUGGAAAAUAAAUCAAGAGGACUUGGGGAAUUUGGAGAAGAUGCUUUUCUGAUGUUCCUCUUCCAGCAUCUUGUUUCUAGGCUACAAAUUGAAGUCCAGCCAAUUCACUAGGGAUAAUCACAUCUUACUGCUCUCUAAAGACAUCUUAAAUGGCUUGAUGGCAUAGACAUUUUAUGUGUCUCUCUGUAUGGUGAUGUUAGAGGCUAACACCUAUUGCAAACUGUGAAACUUCAAGCAUGAGUUUUUAAGCAGAGUAAUCUGAAACUUGAGGCAAUUUAGGUUGCCAUUUAAACCUUCGUGUCUCCUUUCUUAGAAGUUCCCCUCCAGUGGAAUAAGCAGCUUGCAGUUCUGGGUACCCCUUCUAUCUCCUCCAGCACUUCUCACCCUGACAGCUGGUGCAUCUGCCUUCAGCAAGUUCCACACUAUUUGUUUUGGUCCAGAGGGGCUAAAGAAG
rnacentral:lncRNA from 1 species